rfam:Gossypium arboreum cultivar AKA8401 contig_64498_3, whole genome shotgun sequence.
AUUCCGUGAUGUGAGCACUUCCUUAAUAAUUCUUUGUACCUUUUUCAUGCCUCGUACAAGGACUCAUCAUCCAUUUGUUGGAAGGCAAUGAUCUCAUUCCUCAACUU